ACAUGAGGGACGGUGACAGAGCGAAA
rnacentral:sRNA from 1 species